rnacentral:rRNA from 1 species
GAAGGGACCUAGCGUAGUUCGGAAUUACUGGGCUUAAAGAGUUCGUAGGUGGUUGAAAAAGUUAGUGGUGAAAUCCCAGAGCUUAACUCUGGAACUGCCAUUAAAACUUUUCAGCUAGAGUAUGAUAGAGGAAAGCAGAAUUUCUAGUGUAGAGGUGAAAUUCGUAGAUAUUAGAAAGAAUACCAAUUGCGAAGGCAGCUUUCUGCAUCAUUACUGACACUGAGGAACGAAAGCAUGGGUAGC